CCCUUAGAUGUUCUGGGCCGCACGCGCGCUACACUGAUGCAUUCAACGAGUCUAAAACCUGCUCUGAUAGGGGUGGGUAAUCUUUUGAAUGUGCAUCGUGAUUGGGAUAGAUGAUUGCAAUUUUUCAUCUUCAACGAGGAAUGCCUAGUAAACGCAAGUCAUCAGCUUGCAUUGAUUACGUCCCUGCCCUUUGUACACACCGCCCGUCGCUCCUACCGAUUGAAUGAUCCGAUGAAUAUCAUGGAUUGAGGAUGCAAGUAGGUUAGCCUAUCUUCAUCUUCGAGAAGUGAAGUAAAUCUCAUCAUUUAGAGGAAGGAGAAGUCGUAACA
rnacentral:rRNA from 1 species